GACGAACGCUGGCGGCGUGCUUAACACAUGCAAGUCGAACGGUAAGGCCCUUCGGGGUACACGAGUGGCGAACGGGUGAGUAACACGUGGGUGAUCAGCCCUGCACUUCGGGAUAAGCCUGGGAAACUGGGUCUAAUACCGGAUAGGACCCUGGGAUGCAUGUCCUGGGGUGGAAAGCUUUUGCGGUGUGGGAUGGGCCCGCGGCCUAUCAGCUUGUUGGUGGGGUGAUGGCCUACCAAGGCGACGCCGGGUAGCCGGCCUGAGAGGGUGACCGGCCACACUGGGACUGAGAUACGGCCCAGACUCCUACGGGAGGCAGCAGUGGGGAAUAUUGCACAAUGGGCGCAAGCCUGAUGCAGCGACGCCGCGUGAGGGAUGACGGCCUUCGGGUUGUAAACCUCUUUCAGCACCGACGAAGCGCAAGUGACGGUAGGUGCAGAAGAAGGACCGGCUAACUACGUGCCAGCAGCCGCCGUAA
rnacentral:rRNA from 1 species